rnacentral:rRNA from 1 species
ACGGGUGAGUAAUGUCUGGGAAACUGCCUGAUGGAGGGGGAUAACUACUGGAAACGGUAGCUAAUACCGCAUAACGUCGCAAGACCAAGAGGGGGACCUUCGGGCCUCUUGCCAUCGGAUGUGCCCAGAUGGGAUUAGCUAGUAGGUGGGGUAACGGCUCACCUAGGCGACGAUCCCUAGCUGGUCUGAGAGGAUGACCAGCCACACUGGAACUGAGACACGGUCCAG